CCAUUUGCUUCGAACUUGGCACGUGGCUCUCUUGUAGUCUUGCUCUUCUUUUGGUAUUGUUUGUCCGUAGUGACUAAUCGGUGAAAAUCGCCCGCAAAAUGUAGCUACCCAUCCAUUUCAUUUGACUGAAGAACCACUCCCGUCAGUGGAUCGGGGGAGAAACUUUGGCUACAUUAGAAAGCAAACAUGUUGACUGAAACCUCCCAACGAUGACUCGUAAUGGUCGGUGAUAGUUUUCUCCUUGUUGCUACAACGUCAUGGGGGCAUGAUGUCAUCCUUUUUUCGUUUCACAUGAAGCAAAGAGAAUCUUAGCUGAUUGGGAUUCAUUGGAACUGAAGACGAAAGGGCGCCUUCUUUCAUUCUAAGUAGGUUUGGAUGAAGGCCAAUCUGGUGAUUACUCACCCUGCUACCGACUUAAAAAAACUUGGACGGUACGGCCGCCAUAAAAAAAAGGAUCUCGAUAGCGUAAUCAAUUCCAGGAUUUGUAUUUGUAUGACAUGAACAGGAUCAGCUGCAACUUGCCGUACCAGAUGGAAGCGGCUAUUAAGCCAAAAUAGUUUUGGUUUCACUCUUAAACCAUAUGCAAUAAAAGAAUAAAUUUCCAACAACUGAUUCGG